GUUUUCGUGGUGUAGUUGGUUAUCACGUGCGCCUCACACGCGCAAGGUCUCCGGUUCGAGCCCGGACGAAAACA
rnacentral:tRNA from 1 species